UACAGAGGGUGCAAACGUUGUUCGGAAUCACUGGGCAUAAAGCGCAUGUAGGCGGCUCCGUAAGUGUCGGAUGAAAUCCCACGGCCUACCCGUGGAACUGUUCGGCAUACUGCGGUGCUAGAGGAUGGUAGAGGAGAGCGGAACUCUUGGUGGAGCGGUGAAAUGCGUAGAUAUCAAGAGGAACACCGGUGGCGAAGGCGGCUCUCUGGUCCAUUUCUGACGCUGAGGUGCGAAAGCUAGGGGAGCAAACGGGAUUAGAUACCCCGGUAGUCCUAGCUGUAAACGAUGGGCACUAACUAGAAGUCUCUCCUGUGAGGUUUCUGGUGAAGCAAAUGUGAUAAGUGCCCCGCCUGGGAAGUACGGUCGCAAGGCUAAA
rnacentral:rRNA from 1 species